UUGAAAGCAAGAGAUUUCUUGAUCUUCAUAGAAGUUCCUUUCCAUUAAUAUUACCAUAACCAUUGCUUUGGACAUUGAUGAUCUUCAUUAAUUGUAUAAAUUUGUUUUUGGACAUGAUCUUCAGAAAAUCAGAGCUUCUCACAGUGUGAUCUGCUACCACAACCAGUCCAUGAAUUUUACCUGGCCAACAAGAUAGGAGCUUAUGCCAGAAUGAAAAUCCCCUGUCAUCAACACAUUGUUUAGCUCCGGAGAAACUAAAAGGCAGCCUUGUGCUGUUAUAAUGAUGGAGGAGGUUAGAAGUUAGAGGUGAGUGUUACAGCCCAUCAUAUCCCUCGUGCCACUGUAGGCUUUCCAAGCCCGAAGACCAAGGGGAGGGAAGUGAGAAUGUAAAACUCCAUAUGAAUUUGAAGUAUUAAAUGAUUGGACAUUUUACUGACUAAAAUGAGACUGCUUGGCUUGAAGUAACCAGAAAAUAUUUUAUCAUCUAAGACUGAAAAAUGAUAUAAAAUGUGCGUCAA